CUCUCAACUUCUGUGCACUCUUCAUAGGCCGGCUUGUGGGUGCGUUCGCGCACUUGUAGGUGUCGGGCUUAUGCUUUACUACAAACGAUUCAGUUUUAGAAUGUCAUACUUUGCUAUAACGCAAUUUAUAUACAACUUUCAGCAACGGAUCUCUUGGCUCUCGCAUCGAUGAAGAACGCAGCGAAAUGCGAUAAGUAAUGUGAAUUGCAGAAUUCAGUGAAUCAUCGAAUCUUUGAACGCACCUUGCGCUCCUUGGUAUUCCGAGGAGCAUGCCUGUUUGAGUCUCAUGGAAUUCUCAACCUUCGGCUUUAUUGACGAAGGCUUGGACUUGGAGGUCGUGCCGGCUCUCGUAGUCGGCUCCUCUGAAAUGCAUUAGUGCGAACGUUACCAGCCGCUUCAGCGUGAUAAUUAUCUGCGCUGCUGUGGAGGGUAUUCUAGUGUUCGCGCUUCGAACCGUCUUCGGACAAAUUUCUGAACUCUGAGCUCAAAUCAGGUAGGACUACCCGCUGAACUUAAGCAUAUCAAUAA
rnacentral:rRNA from 1 species